UAGGGAAUCUUCGGCAAUGGGUGGAACCCUGACCGAGCAACGCCGCGUGAGUGAAGAAGGUUUUCGGAUCGUAAAGCUCUGUUGUUAAGGAAGAACGAGUGUGAGAAUGGAAAGUUCAUACUGUGACGGUACUUAACCAGAAAGGGACGGCUAACUACGUGCCAGCAGCCGCGGUAAUACGUAGGUCCCGAGCGUUGUCCGGAUUUAUUGGGCGUAAAGCGAGCGCAGGCGGUUAGAAAAGUCUGAAGUGAAAGGCAGUGGCUCAACCAUUGUAGGCUUUGGAAACUGUUUAACUUGAGUGCAGAAGGGGAGAGUGGAAUUCCAUGUGUAGCGGUGAAAUGCGUAGAUAUAUGGAGGAACACCGGUGGCGAAAGCGGCUCUCUGGUCUGUAACUGACGCUGAGGCUCGAAAGCGUGGGGAGCGAACAGG
rnacentral:rRNA from 1 species